AGAGUUUGAUCAUGGCUCAGGACGAACGCUGGCGGCGUGCUUAAUACAUGCAAGUCGAACGAGGUUAUCUAUUCAACAUCCUUCGGGGUAGCGAGUUUUUAACCUAGCGGCGGACGGGUGAGUAACGCGUGGGUAAUCUGCCCUAAAGCCCGGGAUAACAGCGGGAAACUGCUGCUAACACCGGAUAGCUUUAUCUGAAGGCAUCUUUGGAUAAGGAAACGUAAGGCUUUAGGAUGAGCCCGCGUCCCAUUAGCUAGUUGGUGAGGUAACGGCCCACCAAGGCGACGAUGGGUAGCCGGCCUGAGAGGGUGAACGGCCACACUGGGACUGAGACACGGCCCAGACUCCUACGGGAGGCAGCAGUAGGGAAUAUUGCGCAAUGGAGGGAACUCUGACGCAGCGACGCCGCGUGAGCGAUGAAGGUUUUCGGAUCGUAAAGCUCUGUCCUUGGGGAAGAAGGUCUUCGGACUUGACGGUACCUAAGGAGGAAGCCCCGGCUAACUACGUGCCAGCAGCCGCGGUAAUACGUAGGGGGCAAGCGUUGUCCGGAAUUAUUGGGCGUAAAGGGUGCGUANGCGGCCUUUUAAGUCAGGUG
rnacentral:rRNA from 1 species